UACGAAGGGGGCUAGCGUUGCUCGGAAUCACUGGGCGUAAAGCGCACGUAGGCGGCUUUUUAAGUCAGGGGUGAAAUCCCGGAGCUCAACUCCGGAACUGCCCUUGAUACUGGAAGCUUGAGUCCGGGAGAGGUGAGUGGAACUGCGAGUGUAGAGGUGAAAUUCGUAGAUAUUCGCAAGAACACCAGUGGCGAAGGCGGCUCACUGGCCCGGUACUGACGCUGAGGUGCGAAAGCGUGGGGAGCAAACAGGG
rnacentral:rRNA from 1 species